UGAGUGGCGAACGGGUGAGUAACACGUGAGUAACCUGCCCUCUUCUUUGGGAUAACGCCCGGAAACGGGUGCUAAUACUGGAUAUUCACUGAUCUUCGCAUGGGGGUUGGUGGAAAGGUUUUUUCUGGUGGGAGAUGGGCUCGCGGCCUAUCAGCUUGUUGGUGGGGUGAUGGCCUACCAAGGCUUUGGCGGGUAGCCGGCCUGAGAGGGUGACCGGUCACAUUGGGACUGAGAUACGGCCCAG
rnacentral:rRNA from 1 species